UCGGAUAUGGUGUAAAGGCAACAUUGCCGCCUCUCAUUGAAACGUUCUAUUAUUGUGGUGGUAGCUCAGGGUUCGAUUCCCUUCAUCCGAA
rnacentral:tRNA from 1 species